rnacentral:misc_RNA from 1 species
AAUAUAAAAAAAAAAAAAAAAGAGAAAGACAAAGUGUGUCUUCGUUUUUCUAUUCGUAUAUCCCUGUUUGAGCCAUGAGUGUAUGUUUUCUUUUUGUCCUUGCCUUACCUCUUCUAUAUGUUUGUGAGAAAAUAUUUAUUUUGUCUUUGUUGAAAACCAUGUCCUGCUCUCUCUCCACUGUUUUCCAACCUCUCUCCAGGUUAUGAAAUAAGAAAGUAGUACAAAAGCUGCCAGGCAAAUUGAAAAUCCCAAUAAUUUUGGAGAUGCAAUUGGUUUCCGUAAAAAUAAUUUCCACUGUUAGGAAUUCAUUAACUUGACAUCAUCAUCAAUACAUGGCUAUUUAUAAAGCAAAAAAUGUCCCAUGGUUUCUACCUAAUCAACUAA